rnacentral:rRNA from 1 species
CCUACGGGUGGCAGCAGUGGGGAAUAUUGGACAAUGGGGGCAACCCUGAUCCAGCCAUGCCGCGUGUGUGAAGAAGGCCCUCGGGUUGUAAAGCACUUUCAGUGAGGAAGAACGCCUGGUGGUUAAUACCCAUCAGGAAAGACAUCACUCACAGAAGAAGCACCGGCUAACUCCGUGCCAGCAGCCGCGGUAAUACGGAGGGUGCGAGCGUUAAUCGGAAUUACUGGGCGUAAAGCGCGCGUAUGUGGCUUGAUAAGCCGGUUGUGAAAGCCCCGGGCUCAACCUGGGAACGGCAUCCGGAACUGUCAAGCUAGAGUGCAGGAGAGGAAGGUAGAAUUCCCGGUGUAGCGGUGAAAUGCGUAGAGAUCGGGAGGAAUACCAGUGGCGAAGGCGGCCUUCUGGACUGACACUGACACUGAGGUGCGAAAGCGUGGGUAGCAAACAGGAUUAGAUACCCCAGUACUC